ACGCUCGACACCUACGGGAGACAGCAGUGGGGAAUAUUGCACAAUGGGGGAAACCCUGAUGCAGCGACGCCGCGUGGAGGAAGAAGGUCUUCGGAUUGUAAACUCCUGUUGUUGGGGAAAAAGAGGAUGAUACCCAACAAGGAAGUGACGGCUAACUACGUGCCGNNCGCNAUACUGAGNGGCGUGCGAGAG
rnacentral:rRNA from 1 species